rnacentral:lncRNA from 1 species
CUGUCACAAUAAAUUAGAUUUAACACAAACCUAGAAUUAAAUAUUAAGUGUUAACAGAAUCAAAAUAGAGUAAGUUUCCCAUGACACUUAUUCAUGAGAACAAAAUAGCAGAAAUGUAAAUUAAGAUUAUUUUCAAUAAAAAAUAUUUGAAGCAAAGUAAAGGUAGAUUUUUGACUAUGAACAAGUCACUAGAAAAUUUAAAUUAUAAGUUUGAAUUAUUUUCAAAUUUACAAAUCUGAUUGCAGUUAGAAUUUUUUUGUUUUGUCUUUCCCCAAAUCAAAUCCAGGUGGAUUACUUGCUAGUUAUUUUUCACGACUAGUACUUCUUGAAUCUCUCUAUUGCAGAAUAUAAAUUAAGACAGUUAAUUUCAAUCAAAAAGGCUACAACUCUAAGUGAAUUUACAUGUUUUUUAGCAAUUCUGACUAUCAGUUUUAGCAAAUGGAAAGAAGGAGGCAGCAAGUUCAUGCUCUGCUAAAUAUACAAAUAUAGCAAAGGAAAGAGUAUGUACUCAUGCACAUGUAUGCACAUGUGCAUAUUUGGAUACAUCUCAGAGCUUUAGUUUUGCAUAGACAGCUUGAAGCACUUUAAUGGGAUAUAACUUCCGCUUCCUAAAGUUCAAGAGGCUUUAAAGGUUUUUUAAAUUAGGCAACCAAAAUCAUUAAUCUCCCUAGAAAAUCUUGGCAAAACACUGAAUUCAUAUUGACACAAGGACUAGGAGGCAGCAGGCUCAAUUAACAAAACCAUUUCUCUCCUCUGACGGCUUUGCUCUUUUCUCUCUGAAGUCACCAAGGUAACACUGACUUCAUCACACAAAGAAAGGGCUAAUAAUUUAGGAGGGGCAACAAACAGGUAUGGAUAAAAUAAUUACUGAGACAAACUGAAUCCAAACCUGAACUCAGUCUGCGUAGCGCAUCAUUACAGACCAAGAGGCAAGCAUGACAGUGGACAAAGUGAACAUCCUCACCUACUCAUAACUAUCCUUUUGCUAAGAAAGAGUGCUCACUUUCUUGAUAGAGGAUCUGACAGUAAUGAGUAAGUA